GAAAUGGUGGCACAGUGGUUAAGGGGUUUGGGCUAUUGAUCCAAAGGUCAUGAGUUCAAAUCCCAGCAGCAGCA